rnacentral:rRNA from 1 species
GGCAACGCUCAUACCAACGGGAUCACGCCCGCUCUCGUCCGAUCGCGGAAGCUAAGCCCGUUUGGGCCCGUUCAGUACUGCCGUGGGUGACC